rnacentral:rRNA from 1 species
CGAAAGCCUGACGGAGCAAGACCGCGUGAGGGAGGAAGGCUCUUGGGUUGUAAACCUCUUUUCUCAGGGAAGAAGCUCUGACGGUACCUGAGGAAUCAGCCUCGGCUAACUCCGUGCCAGCAGCCGCGGUAAUACGGAGGAGGCAAGCGUUAUCCGGAUUUAUUGGGCGUAAAGCGUUCGCAGGUGGUUCUUCAAGUCUGCUGUUAAAGACAGUGGCUCAACUCUGGUCAGGCAGUGGAAACUACAUAGCUAGAGUUCGGUAGGGGCAAAGGGAAUUCCCGGUGUAGCGGUGAAAUGCGUAGAGAUCGGGAAGAACAUCGGUGGCGAAAGCGCUUUGCUAGACCGAAACUGACACUCAGGGACGAAAGCUAGGGGAGCG